AGGACGAACGCUGGCGGCGUGCUUAACACAUGCAAGUCAAGGGGGCCCAGCAAUGGGCAACCGGCGAACGGGUGCGUAACACGUGAGCAACCUACCGAACUGUGGGGGAUAGCCGGCCUAACGGCCGAGUAAUACCGCAUACGCUCUCAGGGAGGCAUUUCUUUGAGAGGAAACCUACGGGACAGAUCGAGGGGCUCGCGGCCUAUCAGCUAGUUGGCGAGGUAACGGCUCACCAAGGCAACGACGGGUAGCUGGCCUGAGAGGAUGGCCAGCCACAUUGGGACUGAGAUACGGCCCAGACUCCUACGGAGGCAGCAGUGGGAAUCUUGCGCAAUGGCCUAACGGCUGACGCAGCGACGCCGCGUGUGGAUGAAGCUCUUCGGAGUUACGUAAACCACGUCGUUCGACCCGGAACGAAUAGCUUACGAUUUAA
rnacentral:rRNA from 1 species